rnacentral:rRNA from 1 species
AACGAACGCUGGCGGCAGGCUUAACACAUGCAAGUCGAACGCCCCGCAAGGGGAGUGGCAGACGGGUGAGUAACGCGUGGGAACGUACCCUUUACUACGGAAUAGCUCCGGGAAACUGGAAUUAAUACCGUAUGUGCCCUACGGGGGAAAGAUUUAUCGGUAAAGGAUCGGCCCGCGUUGGAUUAGCUAGUUGGUGGGGUAAAGGCCUACCAAGGCGACGAUCCAUAGCUGGUCUGAGAGGAUGAUCAGCCACAUUGGGACUGAGACACGGCCCAAACUCCUACGGGAGGCAGCAGUGGGGAAUAUUGGACAAUGGGCGCAAGCCUGAUCCAGCCAUGCCGCGUGAGUGAUGAAGGUCUUAGGAUUGUAAAGCUCUUUCACCGGGGAAGAUAAUGACGGUACCCGGAGAAGAAGCCCCGGCUAACUUCGUGCCAGCCGCCGCAGUAAAAC